rnacentral:rRNA from 1 species
UACGUAGGGGGCAAGCGUUGUCCGGAUUUAUUGGGCGUAAAGAGCUCGUAGGCGGUUUGGUAAGUCAGGUGUGAAAUCUCCACGCUCAACGUGGAGGGGCCACCUGAUACUGCCAUGACUGGAGUCCGGUAGAGGAGUGUGGAAUUCCUGGUGUAGCGGUGAAAUGCGCAGAUAUCAGGAGGAACACCGGUGGCGAAGGCGGGACUCUGGGCCGAUACUGACGCUGAGGAGCGAAAGCGUGGGGAGCAAACAGG